GACGAACGCUGGCGGCGUGCUUAACACAUGCAAGUCGAACGGAGUGGCGAACGGGUGAGUAACACGUGGGUGAUCUGCCUUGCACUUCGGGAUAAGCUUGGGAAACGGGGUCUAAUACCGGAUAGUGCAAGAUGAGCUCGCGGCCUAUCAGCUUGUUGGUGGGGUAAUGGCCUACCAAGGCGUCGACGGGUAGCCGGCCUGGGAGGGUGUACGGCCACAUGGGGCCUGAGGUACGGCCCAGAGUGCUACGGGGGGAAGGAGUGGAGAAUAGUGCACAAUGGGCGGAGGGCUUAUGCAGCGACGUCGGGUGGGGAAUGAAGGCUCUCUGGUUGUAAACUCCUUUCGACAGGGAAGCGGUACCUGUAUAAGAAGCACCGGCUAACUACGUGCCAGAAGCCGCGGUAAUAC
rnacentral:rRNA from 1 species